rnacentral:misc_RNA from 1 species
GUGAAUCAUCAAAUCUUUGAACGCAAAUUGCACUCUCCUCGGAGAGUAUGCCUGUUUGAGGGUCAGCCUAUAAAAUAUCGACAUCGUUGCUGUUUCGCGGUGGCGUUCGUCGGACAUUGGGUUAUCUUUAAUCUUUUGGUCUUAAGCGACUUAAAAUUUUUUUUUUUGCUCCACUCAAUUUUCUAAUGAUUCUUUUUUUUACUCGUUUAC